rnacentral:lncRNA from 1 species
UCUGCCUCACCGGCCAAACUCCGUCGCCGACCACCACCGUCCGCCAUCGCCGAAGGUAAAAUUUCCUAUCUUUUUUGUAUUUUUUAAUUAUAUUUUUAAUAUGCAAAAUAUAAAUGAUUUGAUAAAAUAAAAGCAAUAAUAAUAAAAGGUUUCGAAAAUGAAAAAAAGAUUAGGGGAAAAAAGACCUUUGCUCGAAAAUGUAUUUGAAUCCCUCUUUUUCUGAACACGUGUGUGUUUUCUAUUGAGUUUUGUAUGUAUUUUUGAAUUCAAAUCGUCCCCUUUACAAUUAAAAUUCGAAGGCUUUAUAGCCAAAAUACAAGCAGUUUCCUGCUGUUUCUUGUUCAGGUCGCAGGUCGUGGAGAGAAGUGUACGGACGUGGGGCGUGCAAUACGCGAGUCGGAAGUCGUGCGCGGGACAUGUGUGGUAACUGCUGGUGGCUGUGGCUGCUGAAGCUUCUAAUGUUUAGGGUUUGCUGAAAAGUGUUUUGGGCCUGGGGUAUUUUGAGGCUGUUUGGGCUAAUUGGGUUAGUCUUAGUUUGGGCUGGGUUUUAUUAUUUGUAAAAGGACUUGGACAUUUAAUUUAUUUGGUUUAUGG